rnacentral:rRNA from 1 species
AAGUCGUAACAAGGUUUCCGUAGGUGAACCUGCGGAAGGAUCAUUACCGAGUGAGGGUCUUCCAUGGCCCAACCUCCUAAACCCCUGUUUAUCGCCAAGUGUUUUAUUGUUGCUUCGGUGGGUCAGCAGUGCCCACCGAAGCCCCCAACACAAUCAUAGUUAAGAAGUGUUGUCUGAGUCAUUAGAAAAUAAUUAAAACUUUCAACAACGGAUCUCUUGGUUCCCACAUCGAUGAAGAACGCAGCGAAAUGCGAUAAGUAAUGUGAAUUGCAGAAUUCAGUGAAUCAUCGAAUCUUUGAACGCAUAUUGCGCCCUUUGGCAUUCCGAAGGGCAUGCCUGUUCGAGCGUCAUGAUAAAAUCUCAAGCCUUGCUUGGUAUUGGGUUUUCGUCUCCCUUGUCCUCUGUACAUGUAGUGACGUGCCUGAAAAUGAAUGGCGGUGCCUCAAUAGACUCAAGCGUAGCAGGCUAACUCUCGCUUUGGAGAAACUAUUGUAGGUUCUGGAUAUAAAAUAACAGUUUUGGACCUCGGAUCAGGUAGGGAUACCCGCUGAACUUAA